CAAAGCACAUAGCAGAGGGAGUAUACAGUUACUUAGAACAGCCUGUGGUUAUAAUUCUCAUACUUCAGUUAACAUACUUCAGCUAACAACUAUCUUGCAGCAAGUGAGGUCAGAGAGA